GGCAAGAUGGCGGAGUGGUUAACGCGACAGCCUGCUAAGCUGUUCUCUUCGGAGGCCAGGGUUCGAAUCCCUGUCUUGUCG